ACAUCAAACCUCCUAAAAUGGGAGUUGCCACCAGGGCAGGAGCCACAUGGACCUCAUUUCCUGCCUCAGUGCCCAACACAAACUGAUGCUUGAGAAGCAAGGAUUGGGAUGACAGGAGUGGGGGUGCCUAGGCCUUGAUGCGUCCCCACAAGUAAAAGACCACCGUGGCUGUAGUAAUUAUAGCCCCUGUCAUGCGUCUUCGGGCAGUGGGAGGGACGACCCAGAGGGGAACUGGAGGUGAAGCUGUGACUUGUACCCAGUCAGGACCAUAUCUGUCCAGCUCCUGUUCUACCUCAUGUCUAGCAGAAGGCCAGCACAGAGCAGCACCUGAGGCACCCUCACUGCUCAACUAGGCAACCUCGGAAGCUGUCCAGCCAGUCUCCCCAAAGCAAGGACGGCAGAGACAAACACCAUGAUCAACAUUUAUUUGUAAGUUUUCCCAAACAGGCCAGCUGGGAUCUGGGGAGGCUGCCUGGAUGUGUCUGGGUUCUGUGGUCUGUCAGUCUUUCCCUGGGGCUUUCUGGGUCCAGAAGUCCUCAUGGGGUCUGGACAGUGUCAGACUCGGAAGAGCUGCCAUGUGAAGGGACAGGGUUUGUAGAGAGGCAGGGGGCCUGCGGACAACCUGGAUUCUGCUCUGUCUACCAGCACAUGACAGGGGGAAACAGAGCGGAACCCAGUGAGAGUGGCAGGGAGCUUUGACUGGUGGGCAGGACCGGCAAUGUUCAGGCCCUGAGCCUGAAGGGGGCGAGGGCGAGGUCCCAAUCCACCUUCCUCUCGACUUCUGGAAGGACAAGGGAGAGAGGAGGGCUCCAGUUUGUCAGAGGUGAGUUGUAAGCAGCUCCGCCUCCUGAAGAGGGUUUCGGCACAGCCAGGAUGACUGUCUUGCAGGCUGUGACCCUUGGUCCCUUCCCUGGAGGAGAUAUGGAGAAGGCUCUGGUAGUCUCAUCCCUGCUGGACCUUCACUGAGCCUUCUUGGUCACCCUCUGGCUCUUCAGCAUCACGUAGGUGAUGAACAAUCCUGGAAUACACAGAGUGAAAGGAAUGGGAGGACUCAAGUGAGGGCUGGAUGACCAGGGCAAGAUGACCCCCAUGCAAGGCCGGGCUCCCAAACAAACACCCUGUGGGCGAACCUUCCCAGUCAUUCCUUAAGCCCCACAGCCCCUCACGGCCAGUCAACCAUCACCAGUGAACACAAGGUGCUUUGCUGAAGGCUUCAGGUCUCAUGGGGAAUGAUCUACCCAGCCAUCUACUACUAAAAGAUCUACUCACACAUCUGCCCUCCUACCUAGCAGCACCCCAUCCCAUCCCCCAUCCUCCGAAUCACUCUUCCAGCACUAGCCCAGGGCCGCUCCAGUGCUAGAGUUUAGAACGCUGUCAUGAGGAAGACAGUCCCCAACCCAUAGAAGCAGUAAGAGAUGCAAGGGUGACAAGAGGGGACGUGGCUGAGGUGUGAACAGUGAGGACGAAGAUAAGGCUGGACAGGAAAGGGGAGGCUGCCCUCCCUGCCCCAGAGCCUGAAUCUCGGCAGGACCAGAGGGGUGUCUGCCUGUGGCCUUUAAGGAGGAACAGGAAAACCCCAGGGAGAGCUGGGGACAAGCAGAUGUACAGCAAGUGCCGAAGUGUGGAAGCACACUGGGGUGAGCGGCCAGCCUUCCAGACAUCCUGCCACGGAUCAGGAGACCUCUGGAGAGUGGGAGACUUACCCACAAACAGGAGUAGCAGGAGGCCUGUGGCCAGGGGGAUGAGGACUGCAUAGGCACGAGGCAGGAAGUACUUGUGGAUGACAUGCUGGCUGUCAAUGAACGGCUGCCACCGAGGGAAGAGCUCCGGUCAGUACUGCUCAUCUUACCCAGCCCAAAUGGGAAGCCAUCCCACCUCCUCUGUCCAAGGGGCUGAACCCAUUGACAGCACUGGGUACUGAGGACCUGCCCUGAUGUCAUACCCAGCCUCGCAAAGAGUCUAUGAGGAAUCCCCAAGAGGUCCCCAGCCUUGGCUCUUCUAGCUGUGCACGGGGCCGACAGAAGUGGCUCUCCGGUUUAGGAAGCCCCGGGUCACCUGUCCACCAGCGGCCGGGAGAGCGAUCCGGGUUCGGAAAGCCCGAGCCCCCCGACUCCAAAGGAGUCUCCAGACCUGACCCCUGACAUCCCCAAAUCACAGAGGUACCGCACCCCAGGGCUCACCAU